rnacentral:rRNA from 1 species
AACGAACGCUGGCGGCAGGCCUAACACAUGCAAGUCGAGCGCACCUUCGGGUGAGCGGCGGACGGGUUAGUAACGCGUGGGAAUAUACCCUUCACUACGGAAUAGCCUCGGGAAACUGAGAGUAAUACCGUAUACGCCCUUCGGGGGAAAGGUUUAUCGGUGAAGGAUUAGCCCGCGUCUGAUUAGAUAGUUGGUGGGGUAAUGGCCUACCAAGUCUACGAUCAGUGGCUGGUUUGAGAGGAUGAUCAGCAACACUGGGACUGAGACACGGCCCAGACUCCUACGGGAGGCAGCAGUGGGGAAUCUUAGACAAUGGGCGCAAGCCUGAUCUAGCCAUGCCGCGUGAGUGACGAAGGCCUUAGGGUCGUAAAGCUCUUUCGCCAGAGAUGAUAAUGACAGUAUCCGGUAAAGAAACCCCGGCUAACUCCGUGCCAGCAGCCGCGGUAAUACGGAGGGGGUUAGCGUUGUUCGGAAUUACUGGGCGUAAAGCGUACGUAGGCGGAUUGGAAAGUUGGGGGUGAAAUCCCGGGGCUCAACCCCGGAACUGCUUCCAAAACUAUCAGUCUAGAGUUCGAGAGAGGUGAGUGGAAUUCCAAGUGUAGAGGUGAAAUUCGUAGAUAUUUGGAGGAACACCAGUGGCGAAGGCGGCUCACUGGCUCGAUACUGACGCUGAGGUACGAAAGUGUGGGGAGCAAACAGGAUUAGAUACCCUGGUAGUCCACACCGUAAACGAUGAAUGCCAGACGUCGGGGGGCUUGCCCUUCGGUGUCACACCUAACGGAUUAAGCGUUCCGCCUGGGGAGUACGGUCGCAAGAUUA